rnacentral:rRNA from 1 species
CCUACGGGUGGCAGCAGUGGGGAAUAUUGCACAAUGGGGGGAACCCUGAUGCAGCGACGCCGCGUGAGUGAAGAAGUAUCUCGGUAUGUUAAGCUCUGUUAGCAGGGAAGAAGAUAGAUGGUACCUGACUAAGAAGCCCCGUCUAAAUACGUGGCAGCAGCCGCGGUAAUACGGAGGGGGCAAGCGUUAUCCGGAAUUACUGGGGGUAAAGGGAGCGUAGACGGCAGGGUAAGUCUGGAGUGAAAGGCACGGGCCCAACCCCUGGACUGCUCUGGAAACUGUCCGGCUGGAGUGCAGGAGAGGUAAGUGGAAUGCGUGGUGUAGCGGUGAAAUGCGUAGAUAUUAGGAAGAACACCAGUGGCGAAGGCAGCUUACUGGACUGUAACUGACGUUGAGGCUCGAAAGCGUGGGGAGCGAACAGGAUUAGAUACCCUUGUAGUC